AACGAACGCUGGCGGCAGGCCUAACACAUGCAAGUCGAACGCUCCGCAAGGGGAGUGGCGCACGGGUGAGUAACACGUGGGAACCUACCUUCUGGUACGGAACAACCAAGGGAAACUUUGGCUAAGACCGUAUACGACCUCCGGGUGAAAGAUUGAUCGCCGGAAGAGGGGCCCGCGUCCGAUUAGGUAGUUGGUGAGGUAACGGCUCACCAAGCCUUCGAUCGGUAGCUGGUCUGAGAGGAUGACCAGCCACACUGGGACUGAGACACGGCCCAGACUCCUACGGGAGGCAGCAGGUGGGGAAUAUUGGACAAUGGGCGCAAGCCUGAUCCAGCCAUGCCGCGUGAGUGAUGAAGGCCUUCGGUUGUAA
rnacentral:rRNA from 1 species